rnacentral:rRNA from 1 species
AGAGUUUGAUCCUGGCUCAGGACGAACGCUGGCGGCGUGCCUAAUACAUGCAAGUCGAACGCACUGACGGAGAACUUGUUCUCUUGACGUGAGUGGCGCACGGGUGAGUAACACGUGGGAAACCUACCCUUCAGCGGGGGAUAACCAUCGGAAACGAUGACUAAUACCGCAUAGACGACAGAACCGCCUGGUUCAAUCGGGAAAGACGGCUUCGGCUGUCACUGAAGGAUGGUCCCGCGCUGCAUUAGCUAGUUGGUAAGGUAACGGCUUACCAAGGCGAUGAUGCAUAGCCGACCUGAGAGGGUGAUCGGCCACAUUGGGACUGAGACACGGCCCAAACUCCUACGGGAGGCAGCAGUAGGGAAUCUUCCGCAAUGGACGCAAGUCUGACGGAGCAACGCCGCGUGUGUGAAGAAGGUUUUCGGAUCGUAAAGCACUGUUAUUAGAGAAGAACAGCCGAUAGAGUAACUGUUAUCGGUUUGACGGUAUCUAACCAGAAAGUGACGGCUAACUACGUGCCAGCAGCCGCGGUAAUACGUAGGUCACAAGCGUUGUCCGGAUUUAUUGGGCGUAAAGGGAGCGCAGGCGGUUUGUUAAGUCUGAUGUGAAAGCCCACGGCUCAACCGUGGAACGGCAUUGGAAACUGGCAAACUUGAGUAUAGAAGAGGAAAGUGGAAUUCCAUGUGUAGCGGUGAAAUGCGUAGAUAUAUGGAGGAACACCAGUGGCGAAGGCGACUUUCUGGUCUAUAACUGACGCUGAGGCUCGAAAGCGUGGGGAGCGAACAGGAUUAGAUACCCUGGUAGUCC